rnacentral:rRNA from 1 species
UCAUAUAUACAUUCCUACAAUGUUAAUGCAUCAAAUCCCAUCAUAACCCUCUAGUUAAGUGCGUUUGGGAUAGAGUAGUACUAGGAUGACUAACCUCUCAGGAAAUCCUAGUUUUUUUACAUGCC